UGAUUACGUCCCUGCCCUUUGUACACACCGCCCGUCGCUGCCCGGGACUGAGUUGAUUCGAGAAGACCGUGGAUUGUUGUUUCGAUGUCUUUCGGGGCAUCUUAACGGCGAAAAGCGGUUUGAUCGCGUUGGCUUGAACCGGGCAAAAGUCGUAACAAGGUGGCCGUAGGUGAACCUGCCGGCCGGAUCAUUAUGAAUCCUUGUCUAAAAUAAAUCGACUAUAAAUAAAUUUAUUAUUACCCCCUCGUUUUUUGUGGAUGCAAAAAACACCCUAAUAACGGUAUAAGUUUGGUAUUUUGUGAAGUUUACGGUGAGCCCCUGUAUACCGUGGGUUCGCGUGUUGCAUCAUUCGUGAUGCUACAUGCAGCUCCGUGAUAGCUUUCGUCAUAUUCGUAUGGCUUAAUUUAAAGUGUGUUGUAUGUCAAAGUACACGCCGCCAAGCAACCCCUUUUGACAGCAAUGUCGAUUAUUAUAUAAAUUAUUUGGCAAGUAUUUCUGUGACAUGUAAGUGACAAGUGUACACACAUUUGUGUGGGUGCGCGUGUUGGUUGCAUUCUCAGGUUAUAAGUACAAGCCUAACCAGUGGAUCACUCGGUUCGUAGUUCGAUGAAGAACGCAGCUAGCUGCGAUAACACUUAUGACUUGCAAACCGUCUUGAAUAAGGUGUAUUCGAAUGCUCAUUGCGCCAUUGGUUCUAACAACCUUUGGCACAUCUGUUUGAGAAUCGCUUGCCAUUUAAAACAUGCUUAAUUUUUUGUGCAGUAAUGCGUGAAGAAUUUAGUGUUGUUUUGAACGUUGAGGGAUGUUUUGGAUCUCUUGUGGCAUUGAUAAUUGUGAUUAUAGUUUUCAACAUUCAUUUGUUGUUGUUAUAAUCUACAAUUAGUGUAAUGUGAUUGUGGUAAUGGUUGAUGCAAAGCUUUGUCCGAUGUAUCCUUCCAGUCUUAAAUGAUUGAAGUUGUUUUAACGAAGUAUCCUCGUUAUACAUUCAUGUGCCAGGUUCAAAUUGUGUGAUUUUUCAUCAAUUUUUGGAUGCGUGCUCAUGAGUGUGUGGCAUUUAAAGGGAUUGCUUCUAGACUUUAAUCAUGUGAGCCGUGUUGGAUGCGCUUGAGGAUUGAAGUGGAUUUGACUGUGUUACGUAAAUCAGAAGCAUUUCAUUUUGUCAUUGCGAUCUCAAAUCAGGUGUGAGUACCCGCUGAACUUAAGCAUAUCAGUAAGCGGAGGAAAAGAAACUAAACAGGAUUUCCUUAGUAACGGCGAGUGA
rnacentral:sRNA from 1 species